rnacentral:rRNA from 1 species
UGAGGAAUAUUGCGCAAUGGGCGAAAGCCUGACGCAGCCAGACCGCGUGCAGGAAACGCCCGUAAGGUUGUAAACUGCUUUUGUCAGAGAGGAAAACCGGGUACGUGUACCCAGUUGACAGUAUCUKAMGAAUAAGCACCGGCUAACUCCGUGCCAGCAGCCGCGGUAAUACGGAGGGUGCAGGCGUUAUCCGGAAUUACUAGGUUUAAAGGGUCCGUAGGCGGUAUUAUAAGUCAGUGGUGAAAGCUCCGAGCUCAACUCGGGAAUUGCCAUUGAUACUGUAGUACUUGAGUGUAAUUUAVGUAGGCGGAAUGCAUCAUGUAGCGGUGAAAUGCUUAGAUAUGAUGCAGAACACCGAUAGCGAAGGCAGCUUACKAAGUUACAACUGACGCUGAUGGACGAAAGCGUGGGGAUCGAACAGGAUUAGAUACCCUGGUAGUCCACGCCGUAAACGAUGAUCACUAGUUKUUGGUUAUAAAUAAUCAGGGRCKAGCGAAAGCAUUAAGKMUCCACCUGGWGAGUACG